UAGGCAUGCAAGCCGAGCGAGAAGGCUCCCUUCGGGGAGCCGGACAGCGGCAAACGGGGUAGGAUCACCUCGGUCACGUACCUUCAGGACCGGGAUAGCCGGGGGAAACCCCGGGUAAUACCGGAGGCCAAUUGCGUUUGCAUGCAUAGCAUAGCAUAGCUAGUUCCGCUUCGGCGCUCGCUAGCCAUGCACUCGUAUGACAUCUGCGGAUCAAAUGGUGAGAUUCCGCCUGAGGAGCGGCUGAGGCGCUAGUGACUUGCAGACCGUAGGCGAUGGUUGACGAUGCAUAGCAGGCACCAUGACCAGAACGGUGAGGUAGCUCAGCUUGUUGGUGAGGUAACGGCUCACCAAGGCUUAGACGGCUAGGGGGUGUGAGAGCAUGGCCCCCACACUGGGACUGACCUGCACAAACACCUAGGUGGUAGUCGAAAAUCUUCGCAAUGGGCGCAAGCUGACCAGCGACCCGCCGCGGGAUGAGGGCUUCAGGUUGAUGGAGCAAUCCAUGAAAGUGGCGCACGGGUGCGUAACACGUAGAUAAUCUGCCCUAAAGAGGGGGAUAACGUUCCGAAAGGAGCGCUAAUACCGCAUACAGCAGUUGGUGGUUCGCCAUCGAUUGGCAAAGGCUGGGAUCGCAAGACCAGUCGCUUUAGGAGGAGUCUGCGGCCCAUCAGCUAGUUGGUAAGGUAACGGCUUACCAAGGCAAAGACGGGUAGCUGGUCUGAGAGGAUGAUCAGCCACACUGGUGACGCAGCCAUGCCGCGUGUAUGAUGAAGGUCUUAGGAUUGUAAAAUACUUUCACCGGUGAAGAUAAUGACUGUAGCCGGAGAAGAAGCCCCGGCUAACUUCGUGCCAGCAGCCGCGGUAAUACGAAGGGGGC
rnacentral:rRNA from 1 species